GACGUAGGGGGCAAGCGUUGUCCGGAUUUAUUGGGCGUAAAGGGCGCGUAGGCGGUUUCUUAAGUUUGGAGUGACAGUGGGUGGCUUAACUACCCAAGGCCUUUGAAAACUGGGGAACUUGAGGACCAGAGAGGGACAUAGAAUUCCGGGUGGAGUGGUGAAAUGCGUAGAUAUCCGGAGGAAUACCAAAGGCGAAGGCAGUGUCCUGGAGGGUGACUGACGCUGAGGCGCGAAAGCUAGGGGAGCGAACAGG
rnacentral:rRNA from 1 species